rnacentral:rRNA from 1 species
UUGCCUACGGGACGCAGCAGUGGGGGAUAUUGCACAAUGGGGGAAACCCUGAUGCAGCGACGCCGCGUGAGUGAAGAAGUAUUUCGGUAUGUAAAGCUCUAUCAGCAGGGAAGAAAAUGACAGUACCUGACCAAGAAGCCCCGGCUAACUACGUGCCAGCAGCCGCGGUAAUACGUAGGGGGCAAGCGUUAUCCGGAUUUACUGGGUGUAAAGGGAGCGUAGACGGCAGGGCAAGUCUGGAGUGAAAGGCGGGGGCCCAACCCCUGGACUGCUCUGGAAACUGUCCGGCUGGAGUGCAGGAGAGG